rnacentral:rRNA from 1 species
AAUGAACGCUGGCGGUAGGCCUAACACAUGCAAGUCGAACGGCAGCACAGUAAGAGCUUGCUCUUACGGGUGGCGAGUGGUGGACGGGUGAGGAAUACAUCGGAAUCUACUUUUUCGUGGGGGAUAACGUAGGGAAACUUACGCUAAUACAGCAUACGACCUACGGGUGAAAGCAGGGGAUCUUCGGACCUUUCGCGAUUGAAUGAGCCGAUGUCGGAUUAGCUAGUUGGCGGGGUAAAGACCCACCAAGGCGACGAUCCGUAGCUGGUCUGAGAGGAUGAUCAGGCACACUGGAACUGAGACACGGUCCAGACUCCUACGGGAGGCAGCAGUGGGGAAUCUUAGACAAUGGGGGCGAGCCUGAUACAGCCAUACCGAGUGGGUGAAGAAGGCCUUCGGGUUGUAAAGCCCUUUUGUUGGGAAAGAAAAGCAGCAGGUUAAUACCCCGCUGCUCUGACGGUACCCAAAGAAUAAGCACCGGCUAACUUCGUG